GGGUUAAGGAUAAUCUUUUAUAUAUUGCACUAAAUACCUAGAACAAAGAGACAAACCAAGGGUCGUGACUCAUGACCCUCUAGUGACCACACCUCUUCUUCCUGCUAUCCUAGAUCAAACCUUGAUCCAAUCUUGAGCCAUAAUAGCUCUCCAAGCUAGUGAAUACACAUAGUGCCACUUGAUGCCUUUGCUCCAGCAUCUCUGGCUAGUGACUCCAGCCUUCUAGUGCACAGCCUUUCCUCCACACUUGUGCCUCUACUCCACAGUGAGAUCCUAAAAUUGGAAGUCUCCCUCUCAUCCUUUAAUUGCUCCACUGCUCCCUCUCAAGGUGCUUUACCUCAUAUUGAAGCCUUGGAUUAUGCCACUAUGAUUCACACCAAUUGAAGCAAGAGCAAGGAUCUUGAAAAGAAACCUUUGUCUUAUGUUUGCCCUAAAAUGAGCCUACACCAAAUGACAGUACUCUUAUGUGUAGCUCUCAAUAGCUCUUUGCACCAUCUCUCCAUCAUCUCACUAUACUCACAAGGCU
rnacentral:lncRNA from 1 species